CAGUUAUGCAGGAUCAAAGAGGGAAAGCAAAAAUGUGUUGUGUCAUCUCAGAGAGCCUCAGUGUCAUCUCAGGCUGGGAGUGGUGUCCUUUGCCUGUUGCCAAUGUGCUGAAAACUGGCCCUAGGGAUAAAGAUUGCAGGAGAGGUAAUUAUUGGCAGCAUGUCCUCAGCGGAAUAGCUUUAGUGAAAUAGCUCUGAGGUCACAGGCAUUUCCCUAAACAACUCUGAGCAUGGGCUGGCUGCCCCUGCUCUUUCCAGAGCUGGCACUGGUUGGAGGGGUCCUAAGAAGCAACAUGAGCCUCCCUGGUCUUUUUGCAGAGAACUGCAGCAAUUUAAUGAUGAAGUGCUGGAUUCACAACUGGAAAAAGUUAAUUUCCAGCUCUCCAUCACUUGAGGUCAAUCUUCAUUUAUAUAUACACCUUCAUUAAUGGUCUAGAAAAUAAAGAAGACAUCUUUCACA
rnacentral:lncRNA from 1 species